ACGAACGCUGGCGGCGUGCUUAACACAUGCAAGUCGAACGGAAAGGCCCUGCUUUUGUGGGGUGCUCGCGUGGCGAACGGGUGAGUAACACGUGAGUAACCUGCCCUUGACUUUGGGAUAACUUCAGGAAACUGGGGCUAAUACCGGAUAGGAGCUCCUGCUGCAUGGUGGGGGUUGGAAAGUUUCGGCGGUUGGGGAUGGACUCGCGGCUUAUCAGCUUGUUGGUGGGGUAGUGGCUUACCAAGGCUUUGACGGGUAGCCGGCCUGAGAGGGUGACCGGCCACAUUGGGACUGAGAUACGGCCCAGACUCCUACGGGAGGCAGCAGUGGGGAAUAUUGCACAAUGGGCGGAAGCCUGAUGCAGCAACGCCGCGUGCGGGAUGACGGCCUUCGGGUUGUAAACCGCUUUCGCCUGUGACGAAGUGUGAGUGACGGUAAUGGGUAAAGAAGCACCGGCUAACUACGUG
rnacentral:rRNA from 1 species